rnacentral:lncRNA from 1 species
GGCAGAAGAAAGGCUUCCCAGCCUGGCUGCAAUCCUUGGUGCUCUCCAGCUCCAUCACGACAUGGGAGGCAGUCUUCUUCUGUCUCCUGUGGGCCUGGCAGCAGAAGAGGCAGAGGUGCGCCCCGCAGGUCUGGCAGCGCCUCGCAGCCGCUCCGUCGGCGCACAGGUCGCACCCCGCCGUGCCGGCAGCCCCGCCGCGCCCCAGCGCCGUGUAGUCGGGGACGAGCUGCCCGAGGCCGCCCGGCGGCAGCGCCACCUCGGCAUCGCACAGCGGGCACAGCACGCUGAAGGCGGCGGCGGCCCGGCCCGGCUCUCCCAGCGUCCCCAGGCGCCGCAGGCAGGGCGCGCACAGCGAGUGCAGGCAGGGCAGUAGCCGGGGCUCCACGCAUGGCUCGGCGCACACCGGGCAGCGCCACGCGGCCAUCCUGCAUCUCACCCGGCUGCUAACG